rnacentral:lncRNA from 1 species
CACCAUAUUUUUAGGAAAUCUGCAGAAGGGAGUAAAACUACUCAUUAUAUUAUGUUCCUGCUACUUUUAUGAAGAAGAUAAAGAAAAUCUUCUCUCACCAUAUUUUCAAAUAGAAUUUAUGAAGAUGCUGAAGAAAUGUAGUAGCGCUAUCUUGUGUUUAAAUCCUUGAUUUUGUGUAAUUUAUAAAAUUGAAAGCAAUAUGAUAUGACUAACAAGGAUUGUGUCUAUAAAAAAUGUGUAUCAAAGUGUGCAAACUACAAGUACGAGCAUUAAAUCUCAGAAAUGUUUACCACUGUUUUUUUUUGGUUUUAUUCAAUGGAUUUAAUGGAUUGUAGAUGUAGACUCUCUACAUCUUCAUUACCACUUGAAAGUCAACCAGAAUCAUCUUAUUCAAGUGGUAUCACAUCAGGUAGUGCACAACAAGACACAGAAAUGUAUUUUCUUGAAUAAGAGAAUACUCAGCUGAAACUAAAAUUAGAUAAUUUGUCAAAUAUAGAUUUCCAUUUCAGCAUAUCAAGAACGAUAAUAAUUUAGUGAAAGUGUACAUGGGAAUUGGGAAUAACAACUACUGUAUAUUGAAAUACUGAUUAAUAUUUAAUAUGCUAAGUAAUAUUUAGUUAGAAUAUUAUCAUGGAUGGGUGAAAUAUCACAGUUUUAACAAAAAAAAAAAGAAUGUGUUGUAUUUUGUACGCACCUAAGAAGUUAUACAUCUAUUAUAUGAUUUCAAUGAAAUAAACAUUUUAAACAGU